GAUGAACGCUAGCGGCAGGCUUAAUACAUGCAAGUCGAGGGGCAGCGGGGUAGCAAUACCGCCGGCGACCGGCAAACGGGUGCGGAACACGUACAGAACCUCCCUCCAAGUGGUGAAUAGCCUUCCGAAAGGAAGAUUAAUACACCGUAAUAUUAGAGAGUGGCAUCACUUUCUAAUUAUAGAUUUAUCGCUUAGAGAUGGCUGUGCGGCUGAUUAGGUAGUUGGCGGGGAAUAGCCCACCAAGCCUGCGAUCAGUAACUGGUGUGAGAGCACGACCAGUCACACGGGCACUGAGACACGGGCCCGACUCCUACGGGAGCAGCAGUAAGGAAUAUUGGGCAAUGGACGAGAGUCUGACCCAGCCAUGCCGCGUGAAGGAUGAAGGUCCUCAGGAUUAGUAAACUUUCUUUUAUCUGGGAACGAAAAGGGAUAUUCUUAUCCACUUGACGGUACCAGAGGAAUAAGCACCGGCUAACUCCGUGCC
rnacentral:rRNA from 1 species